rnacentral:rRNA from 1 species
UAAUGUUGCGAAACCAAAGUGGGGGACCUUAGGGCCUCACGCCAGAGGAUGGACCCAGACGGGAUUAGCUUGACGGUGAGGUAACGGCUCACCGUGGCGACGAUCCCUAGCUGGUCUGAGAGGAUGACCAGCCACACUGGAACUGAGACACGGUCCAGACUCCUGCGGGAGGCAGCAGUGGGGAAUAUUGCACAAUGGGCGCAAGCCUGAUGCAGCCAGGCCGCGUGUGUGAAGAAGGCCUUAGGGUUGUAAAUCAAAAGGAGCGGUGAGGAAGGUAACGGAGUGAAUAUCUGCGUUAC